rnacentral:rRNA from 1 species
GAUGAACGCUGGCGGUGUGCCUAAUACAUGCAAGUCGUACGCAUUCUCGUUUCUGAUUGACGGUGCUUGCACCUAAUUGACGAGACAUUGGAAUGAGUGGCGGACGGGUGAGUAACACGUGGGUAACCUGCCCCAAAGCGGGGGAUAACAUUUGGAAACAGAUGCUAAUACCGCAUAACCACAGAAACCAAAUGGUUGCUGUGUCAAAGAUGGUUUCGGCUAUCACUUUGGGGUGGACCCGCGGCGUAUUAGAUAGUCGGUAAGGUAAUGGCUUACCAAGGCAAUGAUACGUAGCCGAACUGAGAGGUUGAUCGGCCACAGUGGGACUGAGACACGGCCCAAACUCCUACGGGAGGCAGCAGUAGGGAAUCUUCCACAAUGGACGAAAGUCUGAUGGAGCAACGCCGCGUGAGUGAAGAAGGUUUUCGGAUCGUAAAACUCUGUUGUCAGAGAAGAACGUGUGCGAGAGUAACUGUUCGUGCAGUGACGGUAUCUGGCCAGAAAGCCACGGCUAACUACGUGCCAGCCGCCGCCGUAA